rnacentral:rRNA from 1 species
UUGACCUACGGGAGGCAGCAGUGGGGAAUAUUGGACAAUGGGGGAAACCCUGAUCCAGCGACGCCGCGUGAGUGAAGAAGUAUUUCGGUACGUAAAGCUCUAUCAGCAGGAAAGAAAAUGACGGUACCUGACCAAGAAGCCCCGGCUAACUACGUGCCAGCAGCCGCGGUAAUACGUAGGGGGCAAGCGUUAUCCGGAAUUACUGGGCGUAAAGGGAGCGUAGACGGUUAAGUAAGUCUGGAGUGAAAGGCCGGGGCCCAACCCCGGGACUGCUCUGGAAACUAUUGAACGUGAG